GUUUAGUUAUUAUUUUAGAAAAGCCCAUAUAGCUUUUGUGACAUUCUUCCUCAGGAUUGCUUAUCGUGACCCAGAGGGAUGAUUGAAGAUUCCCUUCUUCGGCUUUCAACGGCGACGGCGAGUAACGCUUUCUUUAGACACCUGCCAACUCCUCCUGAUUCUUCAGCUCACUUAAGAUCAAUACCAAAAUGUAUUCACAUGCCUUUCCAAUGUCCUCUACCUGAUAUAAAAACGUAUUCAUAUGCCCUCUAAGAUCCGAAUCAUGCCUCAAUUCUAUGACGAUUCUGUAGAUCAUCUCCCUCAGAUUCAGUCGACGAUCUCUGGAAAUAGGUGCUUGGAGCUUUCGGCUCUUAUGGAUUGAAACUAACCGUUCGAUUUGUAGCAAUGGUUCUCGGUUUGGUUUCGGAGAGCUUUGGAGGAGAUUCCGAGACAUCAAUCAAAGUCAAUCAAAGCUUUUCACCAUACAAUAUACUUACAUGAUUUACUUCAACAAGGACGCUUGGAAGUUUCACAUGUCAGAUUCUGUAAAGUCGAAUCAAGUAAGUAAAAAUGGAAACUGUUAUAUCUCUUAUACGUUUGUCUUUGCUAUCGUAUCGUUUGACUACUGUCUUAAACCGCCAUGGAGCACCUCCUAUCAUCGAACACUCCCUACCUCAUCUUAAAUCUGGUAAGUAUUUAUACAAUUUUUUUUUAAUUUUUCCCCUUUAUAUCCUAAUUUUUUCCAAUCGUUGGUAAACGAAUGUUGCCCAAAUGCAAAACCUUAGUAGAAGAGAGAAAUCAAGGAUUUUAUAUCAGGAAACAACUAUGAAAGAUAGGAAAUACCAAUCAAAUGAGAAACAGUCUGCUGCAAAGGAGCUUCUUGAAAAGGCAUUGUGCCCUUUAAUUAAUAAGUGUUGCAGCCCCUUUUUUGGAUUGUGUUUGUGGCGUUUUGAGAAGAAAUAGAAGAAAACCAUGGCAGGAGCUGAUUGUGCUCGAUAUCAAAGGCCGUGUUCGCGUCUGGCGUGACUACCACGGCGAUGUGUCCGUCGCGCAAGUCGAGCGCUUCUUCUCCAAGCUCUCAGGGCUUGGAAAUAUCUUAAGGCAGCAACAUGUUGCAAGUCUCUGGUUGUUGUCUACAAUGGUAUGUGCCUUAUGCAAAUCGGGAUGGUUGCUAGAUAAGUUGAUCAAAGGAUCGAUGUAAGAAGGCGUAAUGAAAUCUAAAGCAUGUUAUUUGGCCAGUCUUUCUCUUUAUAUCAUGGGAGAUCAGAGCUACCAUUUCUACAUGCAAAUACACAGGUUGUGAUUUUGCAGCCGCUUGGUGAUAAGGGAAUCACACGUAUUGGUGGAAACAUGAUUAGAUGCUUCACGUCUUCAGACCAGGCUUACGUAGGCUUACAUUCCUUCAAUUGAAAGAAGCUGGUUGCGGGGAGGUGUUGUAUUGGUUCAGCUUAUAUUUCCCAAGAAACAGAUUGCAGUGAGUACCCAGCCCCGUAAAGCAGAGAAAAUUCAUCACAUGCGUCGUCGCGUCGAUCGGUUCAAAGAACUUAUGAAAGCGUGAUCAUGUGGUUUAAACACAGAGUGGAAAUGUAAAAAUUGCUCAAGAAAUCAUGAACUAAACACUUAUAUAUCAGCGCCGAGUUCUUUUUUCAAUAUAAACCAGUCAUCUUCUUCACAGGAUAAACUUCAAACUUCGAGGUGUUGUCUCAAUGUAGACAUGUGUUUCGUUUAUGGGUGUCAUUUUAAAUGAUCGUUCGAGAGACUAACAAAUCAGUGGAAAUUACACUGAAUGAUGUCUCUAGACUGGAGGACAAAAAAUUGCUUCUCAUA